rnacentral:lncRNA from 1 species
UCAUAAACCUCGACCAGAACCAAUGCUGCUUCCACACAACCACCAUCUCCUCGAUCGGAAUGUUCUUCGUCUCCGGCAGGAAGAAGUAGACGAAGACGGUCAUGACCACAACAAAGAAGGCGAAGAAGAGGAAGAGGCCGAACUUGAGGUGGCAGAGCAUGGUCAUGAAGAUCUGCGCCACCGCGAAGGUGAACACCAUGUUGACGGAGACGUUGAGGCUCUGAGCCGCCGACCGGAUCUCCAGCGGGAAGAUCUCACUCGGCACGAGCCACCCCAGCGGGCCCCACGACCACGCGAACCCGGCCACGUAGAUGCAUAUGAAGAGCACCACCACGAUGGCGUACCACUUGGGCAGAUCCCCGGC